AUUGAACGCUGGCGGAAUGCUUUACACAUGCAAGUCGAACGGCAGCACGGGGCAACCUGGUGGCGAGUGGCGAACGGGUGAGUAAUACAUCGGAACGUGCCCAAUCGUGGGGGAUAACGUAGCGAAAGUUACGCUAAUACCGCAUACGAUCUACGGAUGAAAGCGGGGGAUCGCAAGACCUCGCGCGAAUGGAGCGGCCGAUGUCAGAUUAGGUAGUUGGUGGGGUAAAGGCUCACCAAGCCGACGAUCUGUAGCUGGUCUGGGAGGACGACCAGCCACACGGGGACUGGGAGACGGCCCAGACUCCUACGGGAGGCAGCAGUGGGGAAUUUUGGACAAUGGGCGCAAGCCUGAUCCAGCCAUUCCGCGUGCAGGAUGAAGGCCUUCGGGUUGUAAACUGCUUUUGUACGGAGCGAAAAGGCUCUCUCUAAUACAGGGGGCUCAUGACGGUACCGUAAGAAUAAGCACCGGCUAACUACGUGCCAGCCGCCGCAGUAAAAC
rnacentral:rRNA from 1 species